rnacentral:rRNA from 1 species
AACGAACGCUGGCGGCGUGGAUAAGACAUGCAAGUCGGACGCUGAUUUCAGGGUAGCAAUAUUCUGGAGUCGGAGUGGCGCAAGGGUGCGUAACACGUGGGUAAUUUGCCGUGAAGCCUGGGAUAACUUGCUGAAAGGCGAGCUAAUACCGGAUGUGAUUAUCGGGGGGCAUCUCCUGAACCUUAAAGUUGGGGACCGUAAGGCCUGACACUUCACGAUAAGCCCGCCGGCCAUCAGCUAGUUGGUGAGGUAACGGCUCACCAAGGCUAAGACGGGUAGCUGGUCU